ensembl:lncRNA LINC02462 long intergenic non-protein coding RNA 2462
AGUUUAACGGCAUAACUUCGGAGAAGAAUCCAGCCAGAAACAGCCGAACUUCAGGGGGAAACAAGAAGAAUCCUAGAUGUCUCAAUGAGAUGAAGAAUUGCCUACUGUUUAUCACCCUGACCCAGUCUUUCUCCCCAAGACAAGUUCUGGAAACUAAAAGUCCAUGAUCAAGGCAUCAGCAGAUCAACGUCUGGUAAGAGUCAGCUUCCUGAUGAGCAGAUGCCUCCCUGACUUAAUCUCACUUGUUGGAGAGCAAGAAAAGAGGAUGUUUUCCUGUCACUUCCUAUAAGGGUGCUAAUCACAGUCAUGUGAGCUCCACUCUUAUGACCUAAUUAUCUCCCAAAGGCUCCAUCUCCUAAUAUCAUCAUAUUGAAGAAAUGAAGCAUAAAACAUGAAACCAUUAACAUGAAAGCAGUGUUGGAAGAAGACAGGAACGUGGAAGAAUAAGACAUAAAGAGAGAGAGAGAGAAUGAGGGAACUAAAGUGUUUUAUAGAGCUGAGAUGCUCAAGAGUUAGCCACCAGCCACAAGUGACUAUUGAAUACUUGGGAUGGGGCUAGUGUAACAAAGGUAAUAAAUUUUUAAUUCUAAUUUAUUUUAAUUAAAAAACUGAAGUGUUAUAUACUUUUCUGUUAAAUAUAAGUUUAUUAUUUUGGUGGGAUUACAGUUCACUUCCACUGUUGACAAUGUUCUAUCUUACUUGAGAUGUAUUAUAAUGUACACAGCUGAUUUUGAAGACUUAAGAAAAAUGGAUUUAAUAUAUCUCACUAAUAAUUUUUAUGUUGAUUACAAGUGGAAAUAAAAAUAUUUUGGAUAUGUUGCAGUAAAUAAAAUGUUAUUAAAAUUAA